rnacentral:rRNA from 1 species
CGCCUAUUAGCUAGCCCCACCUCUCAAUUACAACAAACAAUUAUAAAUAACCCCAAAAGCACGGCAUAAAACCAAACAAACCAUUUUUCCUCCUUAGUACGGGCGACAGAAAAGGAACUAGUGGCGCUAUAGACAAAGUACCGCAAGGGAACGCUGAAAAAGAGAUGAAACAGACCAGUAAAGCCAAGUAAAGCAGAGAUAACCUCUCGUACCUUUUGCAUCAUGAUUUAGCCAGCAGCAUCAAGCAAAGAGAACUUUAGUUUGACACCCCGAAACUAGGUGAGCUACUCCAAGACAGCCUAACAAUAGGGCAAACCCGUCUCUGUGGCAAAAGAGUGGGAAGAGCUUCGAGUAGGGGUGACAGACCUAUCGAACCUAGUUAUAGCUGGUUGCCUGGGAACUGGAUAAAAGUUCAGCCUCCCGGCUUCUCUCUUCAUCCUUAUCCUAUUUCCCAAUGAUUCCUAAAGAAACCGCGAGAGUUAGCCAAAGGGGGGACAGCCCCUUUGAACCAAGAUACAACUUUUCCAGGAGGGUAAAGAUCAUAAUUUUCAAGGCAAGAAUGUUUUGGUGGGCCUAAAAGCAGCCAUCCCUACAGAAAGCGUUAAAGCUCAAGCAUACCCCUCGCCGUAUAUCCUGAUAACCCAAUCUUAGCCCCCUAAUCCUACCAGGCCGCCCCAUGCAAGCAUGGGGGCGACCAUGCUAAAAUGAGUAAUAAGAGGGGCCAAAGCCCCCCUCUCCCCCGCACACGUGUAAAUCGGAACGGACCCCCCACCGAAGAUUAACGGCCCAAACCAAAGAAGGUAUUGGACAAACGUAAGCAUGACCUAGAAAACCGUCCAAAACAUAACCGUUACCCCCACACUGGCGUGCUUAAAGGGAAAGACUAAAAGAAAGAGAAGGAACUCGGCAAACACAUGAAGCCUCGCCUGUUUACCAAAAACAUCGCCUCUUGCAAAACUUAAGAAUAAGAGGUCCCGCCUGCCCAGUGACACUUUAGUUCAACGGCCGCGGUAUUUUGACCGUGCAAAGGUAGCGUAAUCACUUGUCUUUUAAAUGGAGACCUGUAUGAAUGGCACCACGAGGGCUUGACUGUCUCCUCUUUCAGGUCAAUGAAAUUGAUCUCCCCGUGCAGAAGCGGGGAUGAGCCCAUAAGACGAGAAGACCCUAUGGAGCUUUAGACACGAAGGCAGACCAUGUUAAGGACCUUGAAUAAAAGACUGAACUUAGUGGCCCCCUGUCCUGAUGUCUUCGGUUGGGGCGACCAUGGGGAAACAAACAUCCCCCGUGCGGAAUGGGAGGACCACCCCUUUCUUUCUCUUCCCCCUCCUCCCACAACUAAGAGCUACAGCUCUAACUAGCAGAACUUCUGACCAUAAGUGAUCCGGCAAUGCCGAUCAGCGGACCAAGUUACCCUAGGGAUAACAGCGCAAUCCCCUUUUAGAGCCCAUAUCGACAAGGGGGUUUACGACCUCGAUGUUGGAUCAGGACAUCCUAAUGGUGCAGCCGCUAUUAAGGGUUCGUUUGUUCAACGAUUAAAGUCCUACGUGAUCUGAGUUCAGACCGGAGUAAUCCAGGUCAGUUUCUAUCUAUGUUAUGAUCUUUUCUAGUACGAAAGGACCGGAAAGAAGAGGCCCAUGCCCCGGGUACGCCUCCCCCUUACCUAAUGAAGACAUCUAAACUAGGCAAAAGGGCAUACCCCCAUUGCCUAAGAGAAUGGCGU